UUUUCCCUACAGGUGGACACGCCCCCACUGAUAUUCCUUCUAAUUGCAGCGUGGGAGAGGAGGAUAUGACACGCGAUAUCGCAGGGAGUAGAAACACCCCUGUGAUACUGUUCUUAAUAUUCAGGGAGGAAGAGGAUGAUAUUACUCCCAAUACAGACGGGUGUACACCCUCUGUACACCGAGGGUGUACACCUGUCUGUGAAAGAGUUCGUAAUCUCCAGAGGGGGAGAUGAUAUUACUCACAAUAUGGUAAAGAGGCUGUGAGUCCACGGAGGAUCCUCAGAGCCAGCGGGGGAAGAGGGGCUGGCUCUCAGUCCCCGCCUCGCGGGGGUGACUCCCCCCAGUGCGAUGGGGGUCCUAAGAGCCAGUGGGGGAAGAGGGGCUGGCUCUGAGACCCCGCCUCGCGGGGGGUGCCUCCCCGCCCUGUGAUGGGGGUCCGAAGAGCCAGAAGGCUUAGAGGGGCUGGCUCUCAGUCCCCGCCUCGCGGGGGGUGCCUCCUCCCCCUGCGAUGGGGGUCGUAAGAGCCACUGGGGGAAUAGGGGCUUGCUCUCAGUCACCGCCUCGCGGGGGGUGCCUCCUUUCCUUUCUACAUAGACACAGUGACAGUCUGAUCUCUCUUUCUUUUCCCUACAGAUGGACACGCCCCCACUGAUAUUGUUUUUAAUGCAGCGUGGGAGGGGAGGAUAUGACACGCGAUAUCGCAGGUAGUAGAAACACCCCUUUGAUAGUGUUCUUAAUAUUCAGGGAGGAAGAAGAUGAUGUUACUCCCAAUACAGACGGAUGUACACCCUCUGUACACCGAGGGUGUACACCCGUCUGUGAAGGAGUUCGUAAUCUCCAGAGGUGGAGAUGAUAUUACUCACAAUAUGGUAAACAGGCUGUGAGUCCAUCGCGGAUCCUCAGAGCCAGGUGGGGAAGAGGGGCUGGCUGUCAGUCCCCUCCUCGCGGGGGGUGCCUCCCCCACUGCUAUGGGGAUCCCAAGAGCCAGUGGGGGAAGAGGUGCUGGCUCUCAGUCUCCGCCUCGCGAGGUGCCUCCCCACCCUGCGAUCGGGGUCCGAAGAGCCAGGGGGGAAGAGGGGCUGGCUCUCUUCGUGGAUGAUUCUUUUUCCAUUCUCAGGCAGUUUUCUUUUUUCUUUCUUUCUUUUUUUUUUUUUUUGAGACUGAGUCUUGCUCUGUUGCCCAUGCUUUGCUCGAUCUCGGGUGACUGCAACCACUGCCUCCCAGGUUCAAGAGAUUCUCCUGCCUCAGCCUCCUGAGUAGCUGGGACUAGAGGCGUGUGUCACCACACCCAGCUAAUUUUUGUAUUUUUAGUAGAGAUGGGGUUUCACCAUGUUUGCCAGGAUGGUCUCUAUCUCCUGCCCUUGUGAUCCACCCACCUCAGCCUCCCAAAGUGCUGGGAUUGCAGGUGCGAGCCACCGGGUCCAGCCUCUCAGGCGAUUUUCAUACCUGCAUACUCUGGUCACUACUCUGUUAAACAGUCAAGGAGGCUGAGUGCCACGUGCUGACGUCACUAAGAUCAAUACAGCAAACUCUGAAAGAUGGACAGAGAGACAGGAGAUGGUCCUUUAUAAUGCAGUGUGAUCUGUGCUGCAAUAGAGUUUUGGAAGCUAGAAGUUCAAAACGAGGUGUUGGCAGCACCAUGCUCUCUCUGAAGAUGCUAGGAAGAAUCUGCUCCAUGCCUUUCCAUUCGCUUCUGGGGUUUCCUGCAAGCCCUGACAUUCCUUGGCUUGUAGAUGCAUCACCCCAGUUUCCGCCCCCAUCAUCACAUGGCCUCCUCUCUGUGUG
rnacentral:lncRNA from 1 species